rnacentral:rRNA from 1 species
GCGGUGGAUGAUGUGGUUUAAUUCGAUGCAACGCGAAAACCUUACCACCUUGACAUGUACGGAAUCCUUUAGAGAUAGAGGAGUGCUCGAAAGAGAACCGUAACACAGGUGCUGCAUGGCUGUCGUCAGCUCGUGUCGUGAGAUGUUGGGUUAAGUCCCGCAACGAGCGCAACCCUUGUCAUUAGUUGCUACAUUCAGUUGGGCACUCUAAUGAGACUGCCGGUGACAAACCGGAGGAAGUGGGGAUGACGUCAAGUCCUCAUGGCCCUUAUAGGUGGGGCUACACACGUCAUACAAUGGAUGGUACAAAGGGUCGCCAACCCGCGAGGGGGAGCCAAUCCCAUAAAGCCAUUCGUAGUCCGGAUCGCAGUCUGCAACUCGACUGCGUGAAGUCGGAAUCGCUAGUAAUCGUGGAUCAGAAUGUCACGGUGAAUACGUUCCCGGGUCUU